rnacentral:rRNA from 1 species
CAGGAUGAACGCUAGCUACAGGCUUAACACAUGCAAGUCGAGGGGCAGCGAGAGGAAGCUGCUUCCUGUCGGCGACCGGCGCACGGGUGAGUAACGCGUAUCCAACCUUCCCCAUAGUAGAGGAUAGCCCGGCGAAAGUCGGAUUAAUACUCUAUGUUGUGUCAUGAGGACAUCUGAAUAACACUAAAGAUUUAUCGCUAUGGGAUGGGGAUGCGUCUGAUUAGGUAGUCGGCGGGGUAACGGCCCACCGAGCCGACGAUCAGUAGGGGUUCUGAGAGGAAGGUCCCCCACAUUGGUACUGAGACACGGACCAAACUCCUACGGGAGGCAGCAGUGAGGAAUAUUGGUCAAUGGACGAGAGUCUGAACCAGCCAAGUAGCGUGCAGGGAAUGACUGCCCUAUGGGUUGUAAACUGCUUUUAUGCGGGAAUAAAGUCAGGUACGUGUACCUGUUUGUAUGUACCGCAUGAAUAAGGACCGGCUAAUUCCGUGCCAGCCGCAGC